UACGUAGGUGGCAAGCGUUAUCCGGAAUUAUUGGGCGUAAAGCGCGCGUAGGCGGACCUGCAAGUCGGGGGUGAAAGCCCGAGGCUCAACCUCGGAACUGCCUUCGAUACUGCGGGUCUCGAGUCCGGGAGAGGUGAGUGGAAUUCCUAGUGUAGAGGUGAAAUUCGUAGAUAUUAGGAAGAACACCAGUGGCGAAGGCGGCUCACUGGCCCGGUACUGACGCUGAGGCGCGAAAGCGUGGGGAGCGAACAGG
rnacentral:rRNA from 1 species